rnacentral:rRNA from 1 species
UACGAAGGGGGCUAGCGUUGCUCGGAAUCACUGGGCGUAAAGCGCACGUAGGCGGAUUGCUAAGUCAGGGGUGAAAUCCUGGAGCUCAACUCCAGAACUGCCUUUGAUACUGGCGACCUUGAGUCCGGGAGAGGUGAGUGGAACUGCGAGUGUAGAGGUGAAAUUCGUAGAUAUUCGCAAGAACACCAGUGGCGAAGGCGGCCCUCUGGACGGAUACUGACGCUGAGACGCGACAGCGUGGGGAGCAAACAGG